GGGGCUGACCACUGGAGGGGAAGGAGGCAUGCCGCCAACUCCCAGGGAGGAACAGCCUGCGCUCCAGGCUCCGGAAGCCAGCUAAGCCGGGAUGCGCCCCGAUGCCUAGACGGAGCACUUUGGUGCAGGGAAACAGAUCAGAGGCCCCCCCAACAUGGAGGGCCUGGAGGUUCUGAAGCUAGAUCGGAGAAAUUCUGUGAGGUACUUGAAAAUCUUUCACCAAUAGUGCAGGAAGAAGUUAUUCAGAUUCUUUACUGAUGUCUCAUCUGCUUCUAAAAGGGUCAUAGAUAUUUUAUCUCUGUGAGAUGUAAAACCCCAACGAUGUUUAAAAUUAUUAUAUUAAAUCAGACUUUUACUCCCUGUCUCAAGGCUCUAUGGUAAACCUUGCACCUGAUUUGUCCAAAGACCUUUGAGGAGUCACGACAGGGCUGAGUGAGCAAAGUUUGCUGCAAACUAUAAAAACCAAGGGUAGAACUGAGAAGUUGUCUUUUGGGUCAACAAGCCUCCUGCGAGAAGACUGACAUUCCUGUAAUCCUGAACCCAGCCAUCUUGGUGAGAAGAAGUGAAGACACUGAUAAACGGGCUUCAUCAGCCUUUGACUAGUGUCCCUGCACCUGAAGAGGUCCUGCUAGUGGGAAGCACUGUGCCAGCAACAACAUUGUUUAGUUUCUUGAUCACAGUCCCAGCUCCUACUCUGCAAGAGUCCAGAAGACUGCAAGAGCUGAACACUUUGUGAACUCCUUGGCAUCUUAAGUAUCUUAUUUUUGUCUUCUGUGUUUGGCCUGGUCUACUCGGGGUGGGGGGGUGAGAAACAAAUCCCUGACCAAUGUAGCCAUGUCCUUCCCGCCCUGCCCCCCUCCAGUGUAGACACAGCUAUGUCGACAGCAGAGGGCUCCCAUUGACAUAACUAACUUUGUUUGGGGAGCUGGUGUUCCUACACGGACAGAAAAAAACCCUCUGCUGAUGUCGGGAUGUAGGCUGUGUCUGCACUAUGGGGCUAUGCUGACAUGACUAUGCCAACCAUAGCUAUGCCAGUAUAGUCUCAGUAGUGUAGACAUACCCUGUACUAGGGGAAAAUGUUUCAGCAGAGCUACAGCAUGUGAAUGGGAAUACAAACAUCACACUGCUGGUGUGAAUGUACAACAGAUUUAUUUGGCGGCUAUUUGGCAACUGGUGAAAGCAUUCCUUCUGCCUGAAUUGUCUGAUUACCUCUAUUUUAAGAUAGUUUUGAUGUUGUUUUUUUGGUUCCCACGCAUCUCAUUUAUGUAUUAUAGAAUAAGAAAAGUGUAAUAAUAGCAGCCUCUCUCCAGCACUGGAAAAGUUUUUUAUUCAUUUUUUAAAGCCAUUAUUAUUUUAUUUUUGGAGGGAGCAGGGGGACUAAAUGCUGACUUCUGCUGGCUUUUUUUUUUUUUUAAUAAGGAGGGAAAAUGUUCUACAGCUCAGGCUGUCUAAGGACUUGUCUACACAAACAUUUAGUUUGCGGCAAGCUGGAGUGUAAAGCUAUCCUGCACUAGCAUGCUGCACACUAAGUAUCUGUGGGGACCCUGCUGUGGCGCACUAACAGUUCCUUAGUGCACUUUGAUUUACCCUCCUUUGAAAUGGGACUAGAUCAAAGCGUGCUAAGGAACUGUUAGUGCACGUCAGCAGGGUCCACAUGGACUAUUAAUGCAUGGCAAACUAGUGCAGGGUAGAUUAACACCUCAUCUUGCUAUGAAAUAAGUGUGCAUGUAGGCAAGCCCUAAAAUGACCUUCUCUGUAUUGUAAUUGGCAAGAAAUUAAAUGAAUUAGAGUUAUUCUUUGCCCUAAUUCCCCUUAAAAAUGUAUGGAGGGGAAUAAAAGACCACAGAAGACUUAGCUGGGAAAGGAUGGGAACUUUGUAAUGUUUGGAGCAGGGACAUUGAACUCCACAUUGGGAAGCUGCAGGAAUUUUGGGGGCAUCAUUUCCUCCCAUGGGAAAAACCUUGAUUUGGUCAGGGGGCAGGUGGCAGCUUCGAGGCUGCUCCCUGUGGAGCAAUGGUUCUGUCUUUGGGAGCUGUUGGACAUAAUCUGUGCCUAUGCUCUGACUUUUCAGCUCCUGUUUACACUGUGGGUCUCUGACAGGAUGCUCCAAUAAAGCCAUAUCACAAGUGUGUUCCCCAGCUGGCAGAUCACCCCUCACGAAGGCAACCUGCUUAGACUGCAUUAGCUCUUUUGCAGGCUUUUCCUUAGGGAAGCCUUAAGAGAGCAUGAUAUGUAUUUGCUGAUGUGUCAUCGCCCUGCCCACACUUGGAUCCCUAUACAACUAUCUGUGGAGUUUAGAAAGGACAAGAACCGGCUGUGGAGACUGAUAAUUCUUCCUGCUCUUUGAAGGUCUUAGGAGCACCAGGAACCUAAAGACUAUAGUGUGUUUUUUUAAGAAAAAGAAUU